AUGUCUUUAGAUUGUGUGGAAAUCUCCCUGUCUCAUGUCUUUGAAAGUGGGCAGGCUUACGUAGCCCUCUCCUGAGCCCAUAGCCUUGCAGGUCUCCGUGUUCUGGAUUUUGACCCAAAAGUAGUGAGAGUUGAUCCUUCUGUGCUGCAGUUCUAUAGACAGCUGAGACGUCAUCAGCUUUUAACCCAGGAUUCACUACACACCUAUUCAGAUGCUGAUGAGAAGGAGAAUGUGAAAUGCAGCUGAUAAUACUCUCCUGGUUUCUGUGAAGUGUCAGCACAGACUCCUGAGAUGCAGUGAUCUUGCUAUUGAGUAUAUUUGAUAACAUAGGUAAAGUCAAAGGACUUUUUUUAGCUGUUUGCUUCAUUCAGCUGACUCUGGAUAUAUAGAAGUAUCUCUAUUUUGUGCCUCUGGAAUUUGGAAGGCUUCUGUAGCCCCUUUCUGAGCCCACAGACCUAAGUAAGCACUUCUGUGUCACAGAUGCAACUCCAGCAAACAAAAUGACUGAACAAGGAUGUUCCUGAGGGUCCUUCCUGUGGUUCUAUCCUGCCUGCCUAGUUGCAUUUAAUCCUCCACAUAUAUAGACUGAAACUUGUGUCCCUUUCUUCAAGUAUACCACUGCUGUGAGAUGGAAGGUGUCUGGAUGGAUUGGACCUGUUCACAGGAGCUGCUGACACAAGGGAAAGCAGUGCUAAGUAUCUGGAAUACAUACUUGAUUCUUCUGCAAGCAAGGAGUUGGGCUAUUACUUUACAGCAUGCUGAGGUGUUCCAGAUGCUUGACACCAGGAGGCUUUGCAAAACUUCCUCCACAAGCAGAACUGCCAGUUACAUAUUGCUUGUUAUGCUGAUAUGUAGCGUUUUUAUUAGUCUGUUGCAUAAGACGUGAUUUUUAUUUUUUUAACCCUCUGAGAUGAACUGGCACUGUUUAAAGACAGGAGGAAUUCCUACAUCUUAUACCUGUAAUUAUGGAACUACAAGAAUUGUGAAGUUCUGUUACUCCAUUAGGGAGAAGAUGGGUACUGGUGAGAGUUCCUCUUGUUUAAACACAUGAGGCUUGCUCAAAUGAAAGUUGCUCCUGGAAAAAACUUGUCUGACUAAUAAGGUGGAAGUUUAGUGUGAAAUAGGGAAUAAUGGCUAUGGACAUGUGAAGUGAGCUGUAAUGUCACCUGUUUCAGCAAAAGCAGAGUUAAGCAGAACUAAUAUACUGUCUUAAUUAAGGAAAAGCUUUGGUCUUUGUAUUUUAGCACUUUGUUUAAAGCUUAAGUAACUUGUAUAUUUUAAAAUGUUUAACAUCUUAAAACAUGACAUAACAUUCAGCU